AAUAUAUUUCCGAAGAUGGACUCGAAUUACUACUUGUUGGUGAAGUAUGGCCCACCAAGUCUAUUCAGCUACGGGCUCUGAGAUGAUUAGCCCGGAGAUGGUACUUGAGACAUGGACGCAGGCCAUAUGGGGCGCAGCAGUCGAGAAACUUUGCAAUGCGCGAAAGUUCGACAAGUUUAAUCUGAGUGGUUCCUGCUAAAGGAACCUUUUGUUAGUCGUAGAACCACUGAUGAAUAAGGGGUGGGCAAGUUCUGGUGUCAGCCGCCGCGGUAAUACCAGCACCUCAAGUGGUCAGGAUGAUUAUUGGGCCUAAAGCAUCCGUAGCCUGUUCUGUAAGUUUUCGGUUAAAUCCAUAAGCUCAACUUAUGGGCUGCCGAAAAUACUGCAGAACUAGGGAGUGGGAGAGGUAGACGGUACUCGGUAGGAAGGGGUAAAAUCCUUUGAUCUAUUGAUGACCACCUGUGGCGAAGUCGGUCUACCAGAACACGUUCGACGGUGAGGGAUGAAAGCUGGGGGAGCAAACCGGAUUAGAUACCCGGGUAGUCCCAGCUGUAAACGAUGCAAACUCGAUGAUGCGUUGGCUUGUUGCUAGCGCAGUGCCGCAGGGAAGCCGUUAAGUUUGCCGCCUGGGAAGUACGUACGCAAGUAUGAAACUCAAAUGAAUUGCGG
rnacentral:rRNA from 1 species